rnacentral:rRNA from 1 species
GAACGCUGGCGGCGUGCUAACACAUGCAGUCGCACGAGAAAGCCCGGUUCGCCGGGCGAGUAAAGUGGCGCACGGGUGAGUAACGCGUGGAUAAUCUACCUCGUUCUGGGGGAUAACCCAUCGAAAGGUGGGCUAAUACCGCAUAAUCCGGCUGAUUCAUGGAUUGGUCGGCAAAGGUGGCCUCUUGAUCAAAGCUACCGGGAAGAGAUGAGUCCGCGUCCCAUUAGCUUGUUGGUAGGGUAACGGCCUACCAAGGCGACGAUGGGUAGCUGGUCUGAGAGGACGAUCAGCCACACUGGAACUGGUACACGGUCCAGACUCCUACGGGAGGCAGCAGUGAGGAAUAUUGCGCAAUGGGGGAAACCCUGACGCAGCGAUGCCGCGUGGGUGAAGAAGGCCUUCGGGUCGUAAAGCCCUGUCAAGUGGGAAGAAUAGCCUGGGGACGAAUAAUCCUCAGGUGUGACGGUACCACUGAAGGAAGCACCGGCUAACUCCGUGCCAGCAGCCGCGGUAAGACGGAGGGUGCAAGCGUUAUUCGGAAUUAUUGGGCGUAAAGAGCGUGUAGGCGGCGGUCAAGCCAGAUGUGAAAGCCCAGGCCUUACCCUGGAAGGGCAUUGGAACUUGGUUGGCUUGAGU